UCUACUCCUUUCCCUUGAGACUUGUCAGAGAAGAGUGACAGCACAUCAUCCAAAAUUGCCCGUAGAUUGAACUGCACUUCCUCAAGCUCAAGCUUACCAGAUUCAAUUUUUGCUUGAUCUAAAACCUCAUUGAUUAAUGAGACAAGAGCUUUUCCACUGGCUUGUGCAGUUCUGACAUAAUCUCGUUGAGUUACAUCUAGAUCUGUGUCCAUAAGCAUAUGUAACAUUCCUAGAACACCAUUCAUUGGGGUUCUGAUCUCAUGGGAAACUGUAGCCAGAAACUGAGAUUUUGCAAUAUCAGCUGCCUCUGCUCGUUUUUUAAGCUCCAUCAUUUCAUGAUAAUCAUCUUCAACUUUGGCAAUUCGAUUUACAGUCGCGUGGAAAAUAUGUCCAAUAAGCAAUGCAAUCACAAGGACCCCAAAUGAAGUUGUUAUAGCCAACCAUGGCCAUGGUGGUUUUUGUUUGAAUCUGCAAUGCAUCUCAUG
rnacentral:misc_RNA from 1 species